rnacentral:rRNA from 1 species
UACGUAGGGUGCGAGCGUUAAUCGGAAUUACUGGGCGUAAAGCGCGCGUAGGCGGCUUUGUAAGUUAGAGGUGAAAGCCCGGGGCUCAACCCCGGAACAGCCUUUAAGACUGCAUCGCUAGAAUCCGGGAGAGGUGAGUGGAAUUCCGAGUGUAGAGGUGAAAUUCGUAGAUAUUCGGAAGAGCACCAGUGGCGAAGGCGGCUCACUGGACCGGCAUUGACGCUGAGGUGCGAAAGCGUGGGGAGCAAACAGG